UACGGAGGGUGCGAGCGUUGUCCGGAUUCAUUGGGCGUAAAGAGCUCGUAGGCGGCUUGAUAAGUCGGAUGUGAAACCUCCAGGCUCAACCUGGAGUCGCCAUCCGAUACUGUCAUGGCUAGAGUCCGGUAGGGGCCCACGGAAUUCCUGGUGUAGCGGUGAAAUGCGCAGAUAUCAGGAGGAACACCGGUGGCGAAGGCGGUGGGCUGGGCCGGCACUGACGCUGAGGAGCGAAAGCGUGGGGAGCGAACAGG
rnacentral:rRNA from 1 species